rnacentral:rRNA from 1 species
CAGCAGCCACGGUAAAACAGAGGGUGCAAGCGUUAAUCGGAAUUACUGGGCGUAAAGCGCGCGUAGGUGGUUUGUUAAGUCGGAUGUGAAAUCCCCGGGCUCAACCUGGGAACUGCAUCCGAAACUGGCAAGCUAGAGUAUGGUAGAGGGUAGUGGAAUUUCCUGUGUAGCGGUGAAAUGCGUUGAUAUAGGAAGGAACACCAGUGGCGAAGGCGACUACCUGGACUGAUACUGACACUGAGGUGCGAAAGCGUGGGGAGCAAACAGGAUUAGAUACCCCCGUAGUCCCUGUCUCUUAUAA